CUUUUGUCCAUAGUAGAAAUUUUGCUCUGUACAUGCACAGAGGCAUAUGUGCCAGCCCCUGUGGGAGCUGCAGGACAACAGAGCAGGUGUCAGGGGUUCCCCUCAGAGUACAGCUCCUCAGAGCCCAGCAGAAAAAGAGGCUGCAACUCUAUAAUCCCAGGUGCUGUCAUUAUUGCUAUCUGUGUUCAUUUAUUCAAUAUAUUGCUUGUCUCCCCAUUUUAUAGGCAGAAAGGCUCAGGCAGGUUAAAUAACCUGUCCCAAGCCAUCCAGCUAGAGUGAGAACCCAGCACUGGUCAGAUUCCAACAGGUUCAGAUGUCCCAGACCUGAGUCUCUGCCAGGAGGUGUCAAGACUUCCAUCAUAUUGGGGCCAUUCUGCUCCCUAAAAAUCAUCAGACCUUGUUGAAACCUCAGAUAUGGAGACAAGAGACAGCCCAGAAGGAUGGUAGAGUUUGCUCUGGGGCAUGUAAACAAGGAGCCAAAUGGAGAGAGCUGCCUCUUGGCCAGAGUCCUGCAUUCCUUAUCCUGAGAACCCUACCACAUCCUGAAGAACAGGGGCAAGGCCCUGAAGACGGGAAGAGGAAGAAGAGGAGAAAAGGCCUCCUCCUGAAGUGGCACAGAAGAGGAUUUCUCCUAAAGACAGUAUCCUGUAAUCCCAAAAGGAAAAUCUGAAGGAAAUUUCACUUCCAUCUCUAAGAGCAGGCUGGCCCCUGGGUUUCGGGGCACAUGCAUCUUCCCUUCUUAUGGAGAAUUGUGAGGAUAAACACCUGCAGAUGUGCAGGUCACCAUGAGAGCAAGCGCCAGAUAUGUGGGAAGGGAGAUACAUAGGGCUUUGCAGGGAACACACUGGAUCCUGUCUGCAUGCCUAGUGAGACCUGGCCCCAGGGCUCUACCUACUUGAGCCCCAGUGUCUCCAUCUGCAAGAUGGGUAUCACAUGUCAUUCACAGAACAGUAUGGGGCUCACAGACCAUGCAUACAAACCUCA